rnacentral:rRNA from 1 species
GACGGAGGGGGCUAGCGUUGUUCGGAAUGACUGGGCGUAAAGGGCGCGUAGGCGGUUUUUUAAGUGAGGCGUGAAAGCCCUGGGCUUAACCCAGGAGGUGCGUUUCAUACUGGAAGACUUGAGUGCGAGAGAGGAAAGUGGAAUUCCUAGUGUAGAGGAGAAAUUCGUAGAUAUUAGGAAGAACACCCGUGGCGAAGGCGGCUUUCUGGCUCGCAACUGACGCUGAGGCGCGAAAGCGUGGGGAGCAAACAGG